UGGGGAAUCUUGCACAAUGGGGGAAACCCUGAUGCAGCGACGCCGCGUGAGUGAUGAAGCCCUUCGGGGUGUAAAGCUCUUUCGACAGGAACGAUAAUGACGGUACCUGAAGAAGAAGCUGCGGCUAACUACGUGCCAGCAGCCGCGGUAAUACGUAGGCAGCAAGCGUUGUUCGGAAUUACUGGGCGUAAAGAGUGCGUAGGUGGUUGGCUAAGUUUGGUGUGAAAUCUCCCGGCUCAACUGGGAGGGUGCGCCGAAAACUGGCUGGCUAGAGUGUGGGAGAGGGACGUGGAAUUCCUGGUGUAGCGGUGAAAUGCGUAGAUAUCAGGAGGAACACCUGCGGUGUAGACGGCGUCCUGGACCAUUACUGACACUGAGGCACGAAAGCGUGGGGAGCAAA
rnacentral:rRNA from 1 species